CAUCAACUUGUCUGAACAAAGAUCUAGGGUUCUGAAAAUGUUGCGAUGCAAUCUUUGAUUUCUCAUUCCAUAGAUUAUAGACAGUGCACUGACAUACCAAAAUAAUGAGCAUUGUCGAGUAUGUUUCACCUUGAAUAGACUCCAAAAAACAGAGUGUCGCAUUCCAAGUAGUUGAAGGAGGAUGGUACCCGCAUCGUAAAUAGAUUGUGC
rnacentral:lncRNA from 1 species